AGAACAAAUUCGAAGGCGAUCAACAAAGAUGGUGUUUUCAAGUGGACAACAUUGAUUGAAUUCGGAUGGUCAACAACGCACGUCAAAUGUGGUUUGAUUUUAAAUAACCGAUUCUGAGGGAUAGCCUUUUACCUAGUUGUUCGAACCGGCGGCCGAGGAUCGAUGUGGGAAAUGCAGAUUCAACUAUCAAUGGGUCCAUAACGAAAAGCAGAGUUUUCUGGGAAGGCGAACUGGAUCCGAUAAUUGUUGGCACUUGAUAUUAACAACACGACGUUAAACAUUUCAUAAAUCAAUAAACUCCGAAACACAGUUGAAGAAGCAUGGAGGAAAGAGUCAUAAACUUGAAGAAAACCUUCAGCUCAAGUAGAUUCUUGACUGAUGGGAGCUUCCUUUUCCAUGAGGAUGAACAACGAAAUGUACCUGUCAUUUUCUAGGAUCUCAGCGCAAAAAAGGAGGACCGCCACCGGGGUUAAAAGGUGCUAUUUGUGUUUACUACCCCCGGCUCUAUCUCUCACUCACUCGAAAAUGGACGGAAAGCAAUUCCGAAACUUGCUA